ACGUAGGCAGCAAGCGUUGUUCGGAGUUACUGGGCGUAAAGAGUGCGUAGGCGGUCUGGCAAGUUCGGUGUGAAAUCUCCCGGCUUAACUGGGAGGGUGCGCCGAAGACUGUUGGGCUGGAGUAUGGGAGAGGCAGGCGGAAUUCCUGGUGUAGCGGUGAAAUGCGUAGAUAUCAGGAGGAACACCGGUGGUGUAGGCGGCUUGCUGGACCAUAACUGACGCUGAGGCACGAAAGCGUGGGGAGCAAACAGGA
rnacentral:rRNA from 1 species